UACGUAGGGACCAAGCGUUGUUCGGAUUUACUGGGCGUAAAGCGUGCGCAGGCGGUCCGCAAAGUCUGAUGUGAAAGCCCCGGGCUCAACCUGGGAACUGCAUUGGAAACUAACGGGCUCGAGUGUGGCAGAGGGGGGUGGAAUUCCACGUGUAGCAGUGAAAUGCGUAGAGAUGUGGAGGAACACCGAUGGCGAAGGCAGCCCCCUGGGCUAACACUGACGCUCAGGCACGAAAGCGUGGGGAGCAAACAGG
rnacentral:rRNA from 1 species